rnacentral:rRNA from 1 species
GACGAACGCUGGCGGCGUGCUUAACACAUGCAAGUCGAACGGUGAGCCUCUUCGAAGGGGAUCAGUGGCGAACGGGUGAGUAACACGUGGGCAACCUGCCCCCGGCUCUGGGAUAACUCCAAGAAAUUGGGGCUAAUACCGGAUGUUCACCGCUUCCCGCAUGGGUGGUGGUGGAAAGGGUUUCCGGCUGGGGAUGGGCCCGCGGCCUAUCAGCUUGUUGGUGGGGUAGUGGCCUACCAAGGCGGCGACGGGUAGCCGGCCUGAGAGGGUGACCGGCCACACUGGGACUGGGACACGGCCCAGACUCCUACGGGAGGCAGCAGUGGGGAAUAUUGCGCAAUGGGCGGAAGCCUGACGCAGCGACGCCGCGUGGGGGAUGACGGCCUUCGGGUUGUAAACCUCUUUCAGCAGGGACGAAGCGCAAGUGACGGUACCUGCAGAAGAAGCACCGGCCAACUACGUG